rnacentral:rRNA from 1 species
UAAAAAAAGGUAAGCUACUAAGAGCGAAUGGUGGAUGCCUUGACUGGUAAAGGCGAUGAAGGACGUACUAGACUGCGAUAAGCUACGGGGAGCUGUCAAGAAGCUUUGAUCCGUAGAUUUCCGAAUGGGGCAACCCAAUGUAUAGAGAUAUACAUUACCUAUAUAGGAGCGAACGAGGGGAAUUGAAACAUCUUAGUACCCUCAGGAAAAGAAAUCAAUAGAGAUUGCGUCAGUAGCGGCGAGCGAAAGCGCAAGAGGGCAAACCCAGUGCUUGCACUGGGGGUUGUAGGACUGCAAUGUGCAAGAGGUAAGUUUAGCAGAACAUUCUGGAAAGUAUAACCAUAGAGGGUGAUAGUCCCGUAUGCGAAAAACAAACCUUAGCUAGCAGUAUCCUGAGUAGGGCGGGACACGAGGAAUCCUGUCUGAAUCCGGGUCGACCACGAUCCAACCCUAAAUACUAAUACCAGAUCGAUAGUGCACAAGUACCGUGAGGGAAAGGUGAAAAGAACUGAGGUGAUCAGAGUGAAAUAGAACCUGAAACCAUUUGCUUACAAUCAUUCAGAGCCCUAUGUAGCAAUACAGGGUGAUGGACUGCCUUUUGCAUAAUGAGCCUGCGAGUUGUGGUGUCUGGCAAGGUUAAGCAAACGCGAAGCCGUAGCGAAAGCGAGUCUGAAUAGGGCGCUUAGUCAGAUGCUGCAGACCCGAAACGAAGUGAUCUAUCCAUGAGCAAGUUGAAGCUAGUGUAAGAACUAGUGGAGGACUGAACCCAUAGGCGUUGAAAAGCCCCGGGAUGACUUGUGGAUAGGGGUGAAAGGCCAAUCAAACUUCGUGAUAGCUGGUUCUCUCCGAAAUAUAUUUAGGUAUAGCGUUGUGUCGUAAUAUAAGGGGGUAGAGCACUGAAUGGGCUAGGGCAUACACCAAUGUACCAAACCCUAUCAAACUCCGAAUACCUUAUAUGUAAUCACAGCAGUCAGGCGGCGAGUGAUAAAAUCCGUCGUCAAGAGGGAAACAACCCAGACUACCAGCUAAGGUCCCUAAAUCUUACUUAAGUGGAAAACGAUGUGAAGUUACUUAAACAACCAGGAGGUUGGCUUAGAAGCAGCCAUCCUUUAAAGAAAGCGUAAUAGCUCACUGGUCUAGUGAUUUUGCGCGGAAAAUAUAACGGGGCUAAAGUAAGUACCGAAGCUGUAGACUUGCACACAACUUAGAUUAUUUAAGUUUAGAAUAUGAGAAACUAAGUUAUAUGUUUAGUUAUAUUUUUACUGAUUUUUAUAGAGUAAAGAUAGAAAUAAAACUUAGUAAAAUCAGUAAAAAUAUUCUUAGACUAAAGUUAAGUAGUUUAAGUUGUGUGCAAGUGGUAGGAGAGCGUUCUAUUUGCGUCGAAGGUAUACUGGUAAGGAGUGCUGGAGCGAAUAGAAGUGAGCAUGCAGGCAUGAGUAGCGAUAAUUAAUGUGAGAAUCAUUAACGCCGUAAACCCAAGGUUUCCUACGCGAUGCUCGUCAUCGUAGGGUUAGUCGGGUCCUAAGUCGAGUCCGAAAGGGGUAGACGAUGGCAAAUUGGUUAAUAUUCCAAUACCAACAUUAGUGUGCGAUGGAAGGACGCUUAGGGCUAAGGGGGCUAGCGGAUGGAAGUGCUAGUCUAAGGUCGUAGGAGGUUAUACAGGCAAAUCCGUAUAACAAUACUCCGAGAACUGAAAGGCUUUUUGAAGUCUUCGGAUGGAUAGAAGAACCCCUGAUGCCGUCGAGCCAAGAAAAGUUUCUAAGUUUAGCUAAUGUUGCCCGUACCGUAAACCGACACAGGUGGGUGGGAUGAGUAUUCUAAGGCGCGUGGAAGAACUCUCUUUAAGGAACUCUGCAAAAUAGCACCGUAUCUUCGGUAUAAGGUGUGGUUAGCUUUGUAUUAGGAUUUACUCCGAAAGCAAGGAAACUUACAACAAAGAGUCCCUCCCGACUGUUUACCAAAAACACAGCACUCUGCUAACUCGUAAGAGGAUGUAUAGGGUGUGACGCCUGCCCGGUGCUCGAAGGUUAAUUGAUGGGGUUAGCAUUAGCGAAGCUCUUGAUCGAAGCCCGAGUAAACGGCGGCCGUAACUAUAACGGUCCUAAGGUAGCGAAAUUCCUUGUCGGUUAAAUACCGACCUGCAUGAAUGGCGUAACGAGAUGGGAGCUGUCUCAAAGAGGGAUCCAGUGAAAUUGUAGUGGAGGUGAAAAUUCCUCCUACCCGCGGCAAGACGGAAAGACCCCGUGGACCUUUACUACAGCUUGACACUGCUACUUGGAUAAGAAUGUGCAGGAUAGGUGGGAGGCUUUGAGUAUAUGACGCCAGUUGUAUAUGAGCCAUUGUUGAGAUACCACUCUUUCUUAUUUGGGUAGCUAACCAGCUUGAGUUAUCCUCAAGUGGGACAAUGUCUGGUGGGUAGUUUGACUGGGGCGGUCGCCUCCCAAAUAAUAACGGAGGCUUACAAAGGUUGGCUCAGAACGGUUGGAAAUCGUUCGUAGAGUAUAAAGGUAUAAGCCAGCUUAACUGCAAGACAUACAAGUCAAGCAGAGACGAAAGUCGGUCUUAGUGAUCCGGUGGUUCUGUGUGGAAGGGCCAUCGCUCAAAGGAUAAAAGGUACCCCGGGGAUAACAGGCUGAUCUCCCCCAAGAGCUCACAUCGACGGGGAGGUUUGGCACCUCGAUGUCGGCUCAUCGCAUCCUGGGGCUGGAGCAGGUCCCAAGGGUAUGGCUGUUCGCCAUUUAAAGCGGUACGCGAGCUGGGUUCAGAACGUCGUGAGACAGUUCGGUCCCUAUCUGCCGUGGGCGUAAGAAGAUUGAAGAGAUUUGACCCUAGUACGAGAGGACCGGGUUGAACAAACCACUGGUGUAGCUGUUGUUCUGCCAAGAGCAUCGCAGCGUAGCUAAGUUUGGAAAGGAUAAACGCUGAAAGCAUCUAAGCGUGAAGCCAACUCUAAGAUGAAUCUUCUCUAAGCUCUCUAGAAGACUACUAGUUUGAUAGGCUGGGUGUGUAAUGGAUGAAAGUCCUUUAGCUGACCAGUACUAAUAGAGCGUUUGGCUUAUCUUUAAUAAAGCAU